GUGACUUUCUCGAAGCGGCGGCGGGGGCUGUUCAAGAAGGCGGAGGAGUUGUCGAUUCUGUGCGACGCCGACGUUGCUGUCAUCAUCUUCUCCUCGACCGGCAAGCUCUUCCACUUUCCCACCUCCAGUAUCCAGGAGAUCAUUGACAAGUACAAUAUGAACUCAAAGAACCUACAGAAUGCAGACCAGCCAUCUCUUGAAUUGCAGCUAGAGAGUAG
rnacentral:misc_RNA from 1 species